GUGUUUUAGUCAAGUUUAAAACUUUUUCAAGUUCUUAAUUUAACUUCAACAGCAGCGGAUAAAUAACACAAUAAAACAAGUUAAGAGAUAGAGAGAGAUCACACAAGCACUUUAUACUGGUUCCUCUCACAAAACGAGAGUAGUCCAGUCCCCUUGCACUUCCAAGGGAUNNNNNNNCUUGGCCUCUAAAUCUCUUCUCCUUGCUCGUGUUCUUCUAGCCAAACCCUAGCUUAGCUUGUUCUUGCUCUUGCUUCUAAGCUCACAAAUUCUAACUUCUCAUGAACAAAAUGAAUUGUGAGACUAUUCAU
rnacentral:lncRNA from 1 species